rnacentral:lncRNA from 1 species
GUACUGAAGUCACCCACAAGCCAAGAACAGGUGAAAAAGAUAAGUCCAUACACAUUUCCAUGGAUUCAUGGUCCAGUAACAAUUUGGUAGUAUGUUCUGUGCAAACUUAUUUUAAAUCAUGUGCUUUACUGUUCAUAUUUCAUUAGCCAUACAAAACUAACCCCCAUACUAUAUGAUUGAACAGUUGUAAGUGUGAAAUGCAGUAGUUUUCAGAAUUUGUAGAAUUAUGAAACUAUUGCCACAGUUUAGGGAUAAAAUACUACACUACACCCAGAAGACCCUUAGCCAUAUGUAGGCAUUUCCUUUUCUUCCCACCUGCCCCUCAGAACUGUUCACCUGGGAUCUGCCUCCAUUUGCCUGCUGGAUUUGGUAUAAAUGAAAUCAAAGGCAGGUGUUGUGCCUUUAUCUUUUUCAACUGAUAUUAAUUUUGUGGGCUUCACCCAUGUUCUAUUUUUAUUUUGUGAGAACAAGUUAAUUUUUGUCUAGAAUAAUCUAUAUAUAAUAUUAUGCCUUUGGAACAAGCAAAACAUGUUGAGCGAUUGCAACUGUCAGUUAUAAUGGCACCUAAAGUCAGUUGAUGUGUCUAUAUUGAAAUACUAUUCCAUAUUUUCUCAUUUAGUGCCUAUUAUACUGGCUUGUGUCAGAAUCAAUUGAAGGUCUAUUAGAAUGCAAGUAGUCAGCUGUCUACAUUGUCAUAGAUGACAACCUACAUCCUAAUUGUCACUGCCUGACUGAUAUAAGUGGUCAGCUGUCAUUUGAUUAGCUGUCACACCUAGGGCUUUGUAGUCCAACAGCCUGAGUGGGAAUCUGAAGAAGCCAUAGGCAAAGAUGGGAGAAUGCAAGAAAAUCAGUUACAGGUUCAAUGACCACUCAGAACAUCCCGUGCAGAUUAUAACCUCUCAGUUCUCAGCUCGUUAAAUGAAAAAGCAGACUGAAAGGAAACAAUUUCUAGUCUCUACAGUUCCUUGGAGAUGGCACUUUCUUAAAAAGAGGUAAGAGACCGUGACCUCAAAUGCGAUGUGGUUCAGAGCUGAUGCUGAGUGAGUGCACUUUUGAAUUUUAUCCUGUAAACCAAAAGCUCUCAGCAGCUUCCCUAGUCCACAGAAGGCAGGGGUGAUAGUCAUCCAGCCUUAAAUAUGGCCUACAAGGAUAUCUUAGAAUACAGGCCACUUAGGGAAGUAAGAGCCACCUCUCCCACCUAUCUCAAGAUAAAGAGGACAGGGCUUAAUGGAGAUAACACCAGGCCUAGAUGUGGAUCGUUCCUGUAGUCCUGGAGCUGUAGCUCAAUGGCAGAGCCCCUGCCUAGCAUGCACAAGGGUCAGAGUUCUAGUCCCAGUGACACCGUGAAAUAAAAUAAAAAUCAAACAAGUCAAGCAAAUAAGUCACUUGGAAAGGUUUCUCCAUGUCCUAGCUCCUGCCAACGAAAUCUAGAACUGUAGAAGUGACCGAGCACAACCUACAUCCUACUCUGGGUGAAGGAAGAAUUUGAAUCUCAUGUUGCAUGUCGUUAAGGGUUCACUGGGUUCCUUGUAUAGAGUUUUUGCUAGAGAGAGAAAAUACUUAAAGACAAUGAUAUCAACAGAGCAGUUUUACAGAGACAGCAAAGAUUUAAAUUUUAUGAAACUUGUAUAAUUGGAGGGAGAGCAGAAAACACAUUUCAAUUAGAAAAUACAAAAUGAGGGUAUGUGAUGUACGGUACAGAAUUUUAUGUCAAACAUACUUUUAUCAUGAAUUUUAUCAUGAAUAGAGAAAUAAUACCAGAUCAAACAAGAUCAAUGUGACACACGACAACAAAUGUAGAAGGUUGUGUUUUAUUAGUGAAAGUUCCAAAGAGGCGAUUUCAGCCUUUAAGCAUUAUGGUAGAAAUGUGAUGUAAGGGUUCGUUCCAUUAUGGAUGGUCAUCAAAACAGGAACCUUUACCCAAACAGUCACACUUGCAAGAUCACUAGAGGUGGGAAAAAUAAAAUCACAUCCAUUGGAUUUCCAAAUUUCGUUUCCACUGGG